rnacentral:snRNA from 1 species
GGAUGUGAGGGCGAUCUAGCUGCGACAUGUGUCACCCCAUUGAUGGCCAGGGUUGAUCGACUGAUCUGGCUGGUUAGGCGGGUGUCCCCUUCCUCCCUCACUGCUCCAUGUGCGUCCCUCCGAAGCUGCAUGCUCAGUUGAAGAGGACGACCUUCCCCAUUAGAGGAGGACCGGUCUUCAGUCAAGGGUAUAACUGUAGCUGCACUCCCCUGCUAGAACCUCCAAACAAGUUCUCAAGAAUUAAUGCUAGCAUGUCAUUAUCAUAGGCCUCAAUGAAACACAGGCACACUAUAAAAAGGAGAUAUUUUCUAUA